rnacentral:snoRNA from 1 species
GAGUAUAGUUAGCAAGUCUCUGAGCCUCUUUUGAUCUGCGGACUACUAAAAUUUAUUCUGUAAUUAGAAUCUCCGUGCCUUUCAAAUUUCCUUUGUUUUGAUUAUGGCUUCGAACUAGUUGCUACAUU